CCAGACUCCUACGGGAGGCCGCCGUGAGGCCUCUUGGUCCAUGGCCGCCGGGCUGAACCCGCCCCGUCGCGUGCGGGCUGACGGUCCUCUGGAUUGUAAACCUCUUUUGUCAGGGCGCCACGGGCGCCCCGUGUGGCGCUUUGCGCGUCCCUGAAGCCCACGCAUCGGCUCACUCCGUGCCAGCCGCCGCGGUAAUACGGCGGCUGCGAGCGUUCUCCGGAUUUAUUGGGUUUAAAGGGUGCGCAGGCGGAAGGGCAAGUCAGCGGGAAAAUGUCGGGGCGCAACCCCGGCGGGCCGGGGAAACGGGCGGUCUUGAGGGAGCGAGAAGUAGGCGGAAUGCGUGGGGUAGCGGUGAAAGGCAUAGAUAUCACGCAGAACUCCGAUUGCGAAGGCAGCAUACCGGCGCUCAACUGACGCG
rnacentral:rRNA from 1 species